AAAUUGAAGAGUUUGAUCAUGGCUCAGAUUGAACGCUGGCGGCAGGCCUAACACAUGCAAGUCGAGCGGAAACGAGUUAUCUGAACCUUCGGGAGACGAUAACGGCGUCGAGCGGCGGACGGGUGAGUAAUGCCUAGGAAAUUGCCCUGAUGUGGGGGAUAACCAUUGGAAACGAUGGCUAAUACCGCAUGAUGCCUACGGGCCAAAGAGGG
rnacentral:rRNA from 1 species